rnacentral:rRNA from 1 species
CACGUAGGGAGCAAGCGUUGUCCGGAUUUAUUGGGCGUAAAGAGCUCGUAGGCGGCUCAGUAAGUCAGGUGUGAAACCUCCAGGCUCAACCUGGAGACGCCACCUGAUACUGCUGUGGCUUGAGUCCGGUAGGGGAGCGUGGAAUUCCUGGUGUAGCGGUGAAAUGCGCAGAUAUCAGGAGGAACACCAAUGGCGAAGGCAGCACUCUGGGACGUGACUGACGCUGAGACGCGAAAGCGUGGGGAGCAAACAGG